AACGAACGCUGGCGGCAUGCCUAACACAUGCAAGUCGAACGAGAUCUUCGGGUCUAGUGGCGCACGGGUGCGUAACGCGUGGGAAUCUGCCCUUUGGUUCGGAAUAACAGUUGGAAACGACUGCUAAUACCGGAUGAUGACGAAAGUCCAAAGAUUUAUCGCCAGAGGAUGAGCCCGCGUAGGAUUAGCUAGUUGGUGUGGUAAAGGCGCACCAAGGCGACGAUCCUUAGCUGGUCUGAGAGGAUGAUCAGCCACACUGGGAAUGAGACACGGCCCAGACUCCUACGGGAGGCAGCAGUGGGGAAUAUUGGACAAUGGGCGAAAGCCUGAUCCAGCAAUGCCGCGUGAGUGAUGAAGGCCUUAGGGUUGUAAAGCUCUUUUACCCGGGAUGAUAAUGACAGUACCGGGAGAAUAAGCUCCGGCUAACUCCGUGCCAGCAGCCGCGGUAA
rnacentral:rRNA from 1 species